UACGUAGGGUGCAAGCGUUAAUCGGAAUUACUGGGCGUAAAGCGUGCGCAGGCGGCUUUGCAAGACAGAUGUGAAAUCCCCGGGCUUAACCUGGGAACUGCAUUUGUGACUGCAUGGCUAGAGUGCGGCAGAGGGGGAUGGAAUUCCGCGUGUAGCAGUGAAAUGCGUAGAGAUCCGGAGGAAGACCGGUGGCGAAGGCGGUCUGCUGGGCAGUUUCUGGACACUUGAGGCGCGACAGCGUGGGGAGCAAACAGGG
rnacentral:rRNA from 1 species